AAACUGGAGAGUUUGAUUCUGGCUCAGAACAAACGCUGGCGGCGUGCCUAAUACAUGCAAGUCGAACGAUGUAGCAAUACAUAGUGGCGCACGGGUGAGUAACACGUGGGUAAUCUGCCUUGGAGUGGGGGAUAACUAGUCGAAAGAUUAGCUAAUACCGCAUAAGACCACAGGAACUGAGGUUCUAGGGGUCAAAGGUUUUUCGCUCUAAGAUGAGCCCGCGUAAGAUUAGCUAGUUGGUAGGGUAAUGGCCUACCAAGGCGACGAUCUUUAACUGGUCUGAGAGGAUGAUCAGUCACACUGGAACUGAGACACGGUCCAGACUCCUACGGGAGGCAGCAGUAGGGAAUAUUGCGCAAUGGGCGAAAGCCUGACGCAGCGACGCCGCGUGAGUGAUGAAGGACUUCGGUUCGUAAAGCUCUGUUGCAAGGGAAAAAGAAAGUGAUUGUACCUUGUGAGGAAGGGUCGGCUAACUUCGUGCCAGCAGCCGCGGUAAGACGAGGGACCCUAGCGUUGUUCGGAAUCAUUGGGCGUAAAGCGGGUGUAGGUGGCUCUCUAAGUCAGGUGUGAAAGCCCUGGGCUCAACCCAGGAAGUGCAUUUGAUACUGGAGAGCUUGAGUGCUGGAGAGGCUAUUAGAAUUCCAGGUGUAGUGGUGAAAUACGUAGAUAUCUGGAGGAAUACCGGAGGCGAAGGCGGAUAGCUGGCCAGACACUGACACUCAGACCCGAAAGUGCGGGGAUCAAACAGGAUUAGAUACCCUGGUAGUCCGCACCAUAAACGAUGGAUACUUGUUGUUGGAGGUAUUGACCCCUUCAGUGACGUAGCUAACGCGUUAAGUAUCCCGCCUGGGGAGUACGGUCGCAAGAUUAAAACUCAAAGAAAUUGACGGGGGCCCGCACAAGCGGUGGAGUAUGUGGUUUAAUUCGAUGCAACGCGCAAAACCUUACCUGGGCUUGACAUGGACCGGAAGAUUGGCAGAAACGCCGUCGCCCGCAAGGGUCGGUUCACAGGUGCUGCAUGGCUGUCGUCAGCUCGUGUCGUGAGAUGUUGGGUUAAGUCCCGCAACGAGCGCAACCCUUGUCUUUAGUUGCCAGCAUUUAGUUGGGCACUCUAGAGA
rnacentral:rRNA from 1 species